GACAGAGGGUGCAAACGUUGUUCGGAUUUACUGGGCGUAAAGCGCGUGUAGGCGGUCCGGUAAGUCCGCUGUGAAAGUCGGGGGCUCAACCCUCGGAUGCCGGUGGAUACUGUCGGGCUUGAGUACGGAAGAGGCGAGUGGAAUUCCUGGUGUAGCGGUGAAAUGCGCAGAUAUCAGGAGGAACACCGGUGGCGAAGGCGGGUCUCUGGGCCGAUACUGACGCUGAGGAGCGAAGCGUGGGAGCGAACAGG
rnacentral:rRNA from 1 species